rnacentral:rRNA from 1 species
GUCUAAGUGGGGUCCAGUGUCCGCGGUAAGACGAAGGGUGCAAGUGUUAUCCGGAUUCAUUGGGUUUAAAGGGAGCUGAGGUGGCCGUAUAAGUCAGUGGUGAAAUCUCUGGGCUUAACCCAGAAAUUGCCAUUGAUACUGUAGGGCUUGAGUAUAGUUGCCGUUGGCGGAAUAUGACAUGUAGUGGUGAAAUACAUAGAGAUGUCAUAGAACACCGAUUGCGAAGGCAGCUGACGAAACUAUAACUGACACUGAGGCUCGAAAGUGCGGGGAUCAAACAGGAUUAGAUACCCGAGAGUC